AUAGCAAUCACUAUAAAUACGUUAACUAAAACAUUCGGUCAUUAUUCUGUUGGUGAAACGAAUUAGAGAAGACUAAUUCAGACUAAAUCCACCAUGGUCCCGGUCAAAUUCUUUAUUGUCGUUAUCCUUGGUCUUGCAGUCACCGAUGCUGCUUAUUAUUACACUCGAUUAUUUAUAUCCAAGUCUAUACCUGUUACAAGUGGUAACACCAGGGUGCCUUUUGAUACAGAAGAAGCCGAUUACGGUAAUCUGUAUGAUGAUGACACAGAGAAACUGACCAUUCACGAUACUGGAAGAUCUUAUUACGAAGUCCAUGUAAAAGUUAGUGAAGUGCAAAAUUCUCGGGUAGAUGUUCUGUUACAAAGCAAUGGUGAAGAGACCGUGAUCGCAACCUGCCAAUUUGAUGACCGUAAUAUGUGCAAAAUUAGCCAGAAAACAUCUUUUAACAAAGGUGACGAGAUCAGUGUCAAUUUGAUAACAGAUGUUGACACUACGAUAGAGAAAGAAGGAACCUACAUCUUCUUGGCCUCGCGUUAAAUUAAUAAGCCUCCAAAGGCAGAAUAAAAUAAAUGAUCAAUUCACAGCACGCAAA